rnacentral:lncRNA from 1 species
CUUGAAACUCUUCAAUCCAGCUUCACCCUCUUGCAGGUGAGGAAACUGAGACAUCUGGGUGUACGUUACGCGUCAUUCCGUUAAACAGAGGCUGAGCAGUGGGAUCGGGCCUGUUGUCUGGUUCCCAGGACCGUGUGCCGUGUUGUGCAGAACCUGCAUCCUCUCUGUUCUCUUUGGGCCUCAGCAGUGGUUCUGAGUCCGGAUGCUUCGCCCGAUGACAGCCAAUGAGCAUGGGAUUGCGAUGAUUAAGCUGCCUUAUCCAUUAGCUGGAAAGCAAAAGAAGAAAGGGCAACAGACAGGUGCCUUUGUUUAUUCUACACCUGUCUACUGAGUGCUACCCGAGCCUGUACUUCGCUAGGCCCGAGGACACAGCAGAGGACGAGGAUGUGAAACUCACCAGUGACUGGGAAGCAGAGUCCCGAGAGAAAGUUUGAAACAGAAGCUCUGAAGCCAGCAGAGGAAACUGGGAAGGAACAUGCAGAAAUGUCAGAGGGGAAUCACAGGGGCAUGAUGUCCUGGAAACUACAGGAGGAAAGUGUUCAAGCAAGUUCUCUGGGAGUAAGUUGGCUUGAGGAGCAGGGGUGGUGUGUCCUGCUCCAUAUAGUCCAUGGAGACAUAGCCCUUUUACGCUGUGGCUCUGUAAUACCUCUGCGCUUUGAACUCGAAGCUGAAUCGCCAGCAUCAGGCCUGCAGAUGGUGGAAGAGGAAGGAUCACCGGUGACAGCUUCUUCAUGGACCAGUGUCCUUCACCAACAUUCAACUGGCUAGAGCUUAAUCCCAUUGCGACGCCCAACAGCAAGGGAGGCUGUGACUUGUAGUCUGAAUCAUCCCUAGAAGGUAAAGCUGAUGGAUUUGGUGAACCCUAGAUAGUCUCCCUAAGCCCACCUCCCCGCCACGCCCACCUCCCCGCCACGCCCACCCGCACAAAGAACAGUCUUUGCAAAAGAGAGGCUGCGUAUGACUGGCUGUGCGGAUGGAGAUGGCAGACGUGGGCUUCUCUUUCAAUAAGUGUGACCUUGAGGGGGCACGUGAGGAUGGAAGCUGGUGAGGAAUGGAGGAAGCACUGUGUGGCCGUUACAGCAGUAAUGAUGGAGGAUGGCAGUACUGACCGCCAUCCACUUCUGAGCCUUUGUUGUUACCACUUGUUAUGUACCAGCCAUGAUUCCUGGCACUUGUCCUAUCUCAACUGAUUAAAUCUCUACAGUACUCUUAGUUGGUAGGCGCUCUUGUUAUUCCUAUUUUUUUUGUUUUGUUUUGUUUUUUGGAUGCACCAAAGGCCUAUGGAAGUUCCCAGUCCAGGCAUGGAUUCUAAGCCCCAGCUGUGAGGUAGCCACAGCUGCGGCAUGGUCCAAUCCUUCAUCCACUGUGCCACAGCGGGCACUCCUUGUGAUUCCUGUUUUAACAGAUGAGGAAACUGGAGAACAGAGCGGUUGAGUAACCGCCCCAACGUCACAUAAUUAUCAAAGCUAGGAUGACUAGCCAAUGAAGUUCCUGGGUUCAUGCCAGAACUCCCUAGAGUGGGCACAGUUUUUAGAAGCAAAUGGACUUGGAUUUGAAUUCUUGACCUAUUUCUUACUAGCUCUGUGACCUUGAGGAAGUCAUAGAAUGUCUCAGUUUUCUGAUCUAUAAAGAGAAGACUACCUACUACAGAAUUAUUGGUAGCAUUAAUAUAAUAUAUGUAAAGCGCCUAGUGUCAUGCCCAAUAUCUAGUAGAGAGAUACAAAUGCAGCUUAAUUUACUAAGAAAGUUAUAUGUUUGAAUAGAUCUUUUUCUGUUUAACGUAUUUUUUCCUUUAAAAAAAAUUGGUGGAGUUCCGUUGAGGCUCAGCAGUUAAGGAUCCAUUGUUGUCACUUUAGCUGUUCGGGUCACUGCUGUGGCUCGAGUUUGAUUCCUGGCCUGGCAUCUUCCACAUGCUGUGGGAAUGGCAAAAAAAAAAACAAACAAAAAAACAGCUUUAGAAAAUUUGCUUUUGUUUUUAUUUAUUUUAUUAUUGAUUGAUUUUUGCCUUUUUAGGGUCACACCCAAGGCAUAUGGAAGUUCCCAGGCUAGGGGUUGAAUCAGCUACACCUGCCAGCCUAUACCACAGUCAGAGCAAUGUGGGAUCUGAGCUGCUUCUUUGACCUUCACCAGAGCUCAUGGCAAUGCUGGAUCCUUAACCCACUGAGCAAGGCCAGGGAUCAUAACCCGAGUCCUCAUGGAUACUAGUUGGGUUUGUCACCACUGAGCCAUGAUGGGAACUCCAAAAAUUUGCUUUUGCUUGAUAGUCCAGUAGACAUGGGUGAAAAUGUCCUUAUGUAUAAAGAGGCUCUGCCUGACCUUAAAGAGGGUCAGGCAUGGAACAUCAGUCUGGACGUGAUUUUAGGUGUGGCUACAACUUCAUAGUCUUUGUAACAGCUUAGGGGAAACUUUCCCAAAGCAGUCUGCUGUCUGACAGCAAAUUGAUGUUCGUGCCUUUAUUGUCAUUUAUCCCCUGAGCUUGAAUAAAUGUGCCUUUGUUUUACA